rnacentral:rRNA from 1 species
UACAGAGGUCCCAAGCGUUGUUCGGAUUCACUGGGCGUAAAGGGUGCGUAGGCGGUCGGGUAAGUCUGACGUGAAAUCUCCAAGCUCAACUUGGAAAUGGCGUCGGAUACUAUUCGGCUUGAGGAAUGGAGGGGAGACUGGAAUUCUCGGUGUAGCAGUGAAAUGCGUAGAUAUCGAGAGGAACACCAGUGGCGAAGGCGAGUCUCUGGACAUUUCCUGACGCUGAGGCACGAAAGCCAGGGGAGCAAACGGG